rnacentral:tRNA from 1 species
GGCUGUGGCUCAGUGGUGGAGCACUCGCCUACCAUGUGUGAGGCCCUGGGUUCAAUCCUCAGCACCA